UCCCUUGUAGCUUAGUUGGUAAAGAGGCCGCCUGCAAUGCAGGAGACCUGGGUUAGAUUCCCGGGUCGGGAA
rnacentral:tRNA from 1 species